rnacentral:pre_miRNA from 1 species
GGUACUUGGAGAGUGGUUAUCCCUGUCCUCUUCGUGUCACUCAUGUCGAAUCGUACAGGGUCAUCCACUUUUUCAGUAUC